ensembl:lncRNA
CGAGGAUAAAAGAACACGAGUAGAGACGAUAAAAGAACACGAGUAGAGGAUAAAAGAACACGAGUAGAGGAUAAAAGAACACGAGUAGACGAUAAAAGAACACGAGUAGAGGAUAAAAGAACACGAGUAGAGGAUAAAAGAACACGAGUAGAGACGAUAAAAGAACACGAGUAGAGGAUAAAAGAACACGAGAGAGACGAUAAAAGAACACGAGUAGAGGAUAAAAGAACACGAGUAGAAGAUAAAAGAACACGAGUAGAGGAUAAAAGAACACGAGUAGAGGAUAAAAGAACACGAGUAGAGGAUAAAAGAACACGAGUAGACGAUAAAAGAACACGAGUAGAGACGAUAAAAGAACACGAGUAGAGGAUA